AAUAGGGUUUGUGCUAUUGUGAUUUCUAAGAGACGAAAAGAGGAACGCAAAAUUGUUGAAGAGAAAACAGGAAAAGUGAUAUACAUUCGCAUUCUGGGAGGCAAAUAAGCUGAUCAGUUAAAAUGAUUGUGGUCGGAAUAUCGUAUUUUCUCACAGAAUAUAAAUGUAUAGGAUUUAUUUAAUACUGUGACGUAUGUACUCAAGCUGCAGUGUUGUACUCAUGAACGUUAUAAACGGCAAAUUUAGUUUCAUAGCUGUGUCGUAUGCAACUUAGUAUUAUUGUAGUGGCUGUUGGAAGGCUUCUUCAAAGGUAAUUUCAUUUAAACAUGUUGACAUGUUAAGUAAUGGAGUUGUUGAACUUUAUUUUUAGUCUCUGAAGUAUAUAGCGAUGAAACUCUCUAAAACCAGGAAGAGAAAUGCAGCAAAGCUGGAGAUACCGUGGGAAAAUUCUAUUUGCAAAACGAUGCUGAAAUAGCAGGUGUAAUGAGUGAUGUCGUCGUCACCAUGUUGUAUGUGCUUGAAAUAGUGUACACUAUGUUUAUGGAAUUAUUGGUCAAAACAGAAACACAGUGCAAAUCCAGUACCACAACAGAAAGACUACAGGAUUGCACAACCAAAUGUUCUCUGCCACCACCCUAUAUUUUCUGGGAUGGUUACUAGGGAUGGGCCACAGCCAGUACCGAAGGUCAUUAUUUUUAUUUUACCAUCUGUGCCAAAUUAUUUUGUCUGGUAAUAUAUUAAUGUUAUGUCACUUUCUAUAGUAGUAGAAAAUGAAAUGGUUUACAUUCCAGUAUGAAAACCCA